UUUUAAAUGGAACGGCCAAAAACGACGUGCCAUUUUCCUAAAUCAAAAAGGUAUUUAUUUAAAAGAAAAACUACCUUAUUCUUGUAUCGUGGAUAUAAAGCAAUAUAUUUGCUGUACGUCGAUUUGCAAAUAUUGUAUGCAUGUUCUGGUUGAGAACAAAUAAAAAUAAAUAUAAUGUGUAGGUUUUGGACUGCAACUGUAAAAUGAUUUAUUGGAAGGUACAUAUACAUGUAUGUAGCAAUGCAUCACUCCACCUUUGGACAGACCAAAAAGUUGUUGCGAGGGUACUUUGCAUGCAGAGAGGAUCGAAUUAUAUUCCCGACACAGGCAUUCAAAUGUGAAUCAGUCGCCAUUCUUACCGGACGUGUCUUGGCAUUUAUACAUAACCUACAACCAAAACAGAAACCUCACUUUGGCAAGUGUUUUAGGUGAUUGCUGAAAUGAGACAAAGAGAAGAACAUAUUUUUAUACCUCAUGCACCCUUGGUGUACAUUCUGUUUGCAAAAUUUAUUACUUUUAUGUUACGACAAAAUGCAUGCAUAUAAAAUGCAUACAUGUAUGCUUAAUCGCAAGUCUUGUAAUUUUUUGAGUAAUUGUGAAUAAUUAUAAAUAUUUAUUAUAAUAUAAUACAUUUUGAAAUUCAAUUGUUUGUUUAAUGUCUUGUAGUAGGUAUGAUCUAAAUAAUAAGGAAAAAAUGCUGAAUAACUUAAUUUUAAGAUUUAAAAAAAGUAGUAUUUUCUACCCAAGGACAGCUGUUUUCCAUUUGUUUAGUAGGUUGAGUAGACAGAGUCUACCGUUUAUUACUCAUCCAACUGAUCAAUGAAAAACACCUGUCAUAUUCCUCGUGUACAAAAUACUAGUUUUCUUUUAAAUCUAAAUUUACGAAACAGUUGAUUUAUAAUAUUGACCAUAUCAAUGAUAAAUUGGAUUAUCAAUUAACCUUGAAUUUGUCUUCCUAAUAGGAUUGUCCCCACGAUCCGAGACUAGAUCUUACACGAUCCCUCCACAGUAAGCAUUGCGUUCGAUCGUUGUUUUUGUUUCUUUCGAUAUACAGAAUAACAAUGGGUUCGCUCAUAUUUUCAUGAUUUUGUUUGUAAUAGUGCCAUAAGCAGCAUGCAUGGCCUUCAAGAUAAAUAAUCUAAAUGAUUAUAUGUUUAGAUAAUGGCAUCAACUGCACCUACAUCAUGUGGACCUUGUAAAAAAAUAGGAGAAACUAUUUCAGCUGACUUCUGGUGUUAUAACUGUGAUGAAGGAUUUUGCUCAACAUGUUCCAACCAUCACAAAAGAUUCAAUGGAAUAGAGGAUUACAAAAUCAUCGAUAUUAAAACCAUCAAUCCGACAAAACUAUAUAGAAUGUGACAAACAUGGAAACCAGCUUUAUUUGUACUGCGCAAAUCAUUUAGUACCUUGCUGUGAAGAAUGUAAUUCCACUAGCCAUUCUAAAUGUACUGGAAUAAAAACAUUAACUAGUGUAGUGGAGAGAACUAAAAUUGAAAAAAUGAAAGAAUCUGUAGCACGUGUAGAGCGAGAUAUCGAUUAUGUCUCAAAUAUUUGUGAAUAAAUAUUGAAUAUGAAAUUAAAAAACGUCAAACAGGUGAAGACCAGUAUUUAGGCACUAAGAAAUCAAUUGAAGAUAUUCGGAAGGAAAUAAAUAAACAUUUAGACAAACUAAAGGAGAAAAUAUGUCAAAAAGCAGAAACUAUUUGGAAUCAGGAAAAAUCAGCAGCCAUGCACAGAUUUCAUUUCUGAAGUUGAAGGAAGAACGAAAAGCUUGAAGGAAAUUAAAGCCAAUGUGCCAACAGUCAUGUCACAUGCCUCAAAACUCCAAUCAUUUUUAUGUCUACAUCAGAUUAAACAACAAGUAUAUAAAUGUCAACGAUGUAUUGAAGACUGGGAAACAGAUGAGAAGGUUAGAGAAUUUGACAUCAAACUGGCGCAAUAUAGUAAAUUAGAAAAUAUAUUAAGCAAAUUUUAAUCGUUAGAAAGCUUAGGGGAAGUAAAAGUUACUAGAACAGAACCCUCACUGUACGUGGGAACAGGCAUGACAAUGGCAGGAUACAUUUCACCACAGUCCAUUA
rnacentral:lncRNA from 1 species